AAGGAAUAUUGGUCAAUGGACGCAAGUCUGAACCAGCCAUGCCGCGUGAAGGAUGAAGGUCCUCUGGAUUGUAAACUUCUUUUAUCUGGGACGAAAACGGGAUUUUUAUCUCAAUUGACGGUACCAGAGGAAUAAGCACCGGCUAACUCCGUGCCAGCAGCCGCGGUAAUACGGAGGGUGCGAGCGUUAUCCGGAUUUACGGGGUUUAAAGGGUGCGUAGGUGGGCUUAUAAGUCAGUUGUGAAAUCUCCGAGCUUAACUUGGAAACUGCCGUUGAUACUAUCGGUCUUGAAUUAUCUGGAGGUAAGCGGAAUAUGUCAUGUAGCGGUGAAAUGCUUAGAUAUGACAUAGAACACCAAUUGCGAAGGCAGCUUACUACAUAUAAAUUGACGCUGAGGCACGAAAGCGU
rnacentral:rRNA from 1 species